ACAGAGGCCUCGAGCGUUAGGCGGAAUCACUGGGCUUAAAGCGUGUGUAGGCGGAUUGCUAGUACCUUGUGAAAUCCCACGGCUUAACCGUGGAACUGCUUGGUAUACUGGCUGUCUUGAGCCACUUAGGGGCGACCGGAACAAACGGUGGAGCGGUGAAAUGCGUAGAUAUCGGGAGGAACACCUGUGGCGAAAGCGGCUCUCUGGACCACAACUGACGCUGAGGCGCGAAAGCUAGGGGAGCAAACAGGA
rnacentral:rRNA from 1 species